CUUGGGACGGGGGGAGAAGUCCCUCAGCCUGGAUUGCAAGAGGGUGCAGGCCAGGCCGAGGGACCCCACUGGUACACA
rfam:Myotis davidii contig67624, whole genome shotgun sequence.